rnacentral:rRNA from 1 species
CCUACGGGUGGCAGCAGUGAGGAAUAUUGGUCAAUGGGCGCUAGCCUGAACCAGCCAAGUAGCGUGAAGGAUGACUGCCCUAUGUGUUGUAAACUUCUUCUAUAUGGGAAUAAAGUGCAGUAUGUAUACUGCUUUGCAUGUACCUUAUGAAUAAGGAUCGGCUAACUACGUGCCAGCAGCCGCGGUAAUACGGAGGAUUCGAGCGUUAUCCGUAUUUAUUGGGUUUAAAGGGAGCGUAGGCGGGUUGUUAAGUCAGUUGUGAAAGUUUGCGGCUCAACCGUAAAAUUGCAGUUGAUACUGACAGCCUUGAGUACAGUAGAGGUAGGCGGAAUUCGUGGUGUAGCGGUGAAAUGCUUAGAUAUCACGAAGAACUCCGAUUGCGAAGGCGGCCUGCUGGACUGUAACUGACGCUGAUGCUCGAAAGUGUGGGUAUCAAACAGGAUUAGAUACCCCAGUAGUC